rnacentral:rRNA from 1 species
GACGAACGCUGGCGGCGUGCCUAAUACAUGCAAGUAGAACGCUGAAGAGAGGAGCUUGCUCUUCUUGGAUGAGUUGCGAACGGGUGAGUAACGCGUAGGUAACCUGCCUUGUAGCGGGGGAUAACUAUUGGAAACGAUAGCUAAUACCGCAUAACAAUGGAUGACACAUGUCAUUUAUUUGAAAGGGGCAAUUGCUCCACUACAAGAUGGACCUGCGUUGUCUUAGCUAGUAGGUGAGGUAAUGGCUCACCUAGGCGACGAUACAUAGCCGGCCUGAGAGGGUGGUCGGCCACACUGGGACUGGGACACGGCCCAGGCUCCUACGGGAGGCAGCAGUAGGGAAUCUUCGGCAAUGGGGGCAACCCUGACCGGGCAACGCCGCGUGGGUGAAGAAGGGUUUCGGAUCGUAAAGCUCUGUUGUAAGUCAAGAACGGGUGUGAGAGUGGAAAGUUCACACUGUGACGGUAGCUGACCAGAAAGGGACGGCUAACUACGUG